rnacentral:rRNA from 1 species
UGGGGAAUUUUGGACAAUGGGCGAAAGCCUGAUCCAGCAAUGCCGCGUGUGUGAAGAAGGCCUUCGGGUUGUAAAGCACUUUUGUCCGGAAAGAAAUCCUUGGCUCCAAUACAGUCGGGGGAUGACGGUACCGGAAGAAUAAGCACCGGCUAACUACGUGCCAGCAGCCGCGGUAAUACGUAGGGUGCAAGCGUUAAUCGGAAUUACUGGACGUAAAGCGUGCGCAGGCGGUUUGCUAAGACCGAUGUGAAAUCCCCGGGCUCAACCUGGGAACUGCAUUGGUGACUGGCAGGCUAGAGUAUGGCAGAGGGGGGUAGAAUUCCACGUGUAGCAGUGAAAUGCGUAGAGAUGUGGAGGAAUACCGAUGGCGAAGGCAGCCCCCCUGGGCCAAAUACUGACGCUCAUGCACGAAAGCGUGGGGAGCAAAGCAGGAUUAGAUACCCUGGGUAGUCCACGCCCUAAAACGAUGUCAACUAGUUGUUGGGGAUUCAAUUUCCUUAGUACGUAGCUAACGCGUGAAGUUGACCGCCUGGGGAGUACGGUCG